rnacentral:lncRNA from 1 species
GGACAAAAGCUGAAGCAAAAAUCUAUUUUGCAAAGAACUGCUCUCGAUAACGAGAUCGAAAUCGACAAGGAGAUGGAGAGACUUAAAAACUUUGGUACAAUCACCUUGUCAGAAGACAUAGCUGAAGGAUCCAAAGUGAAGAAAAGAACAAUUAGUAAAGAAACUUUUGUUUGCACCGAGACACAACCAAAGAGGGCGAACAAACGCGUAGGGUAUUUUUCAAAUCCAGUGAAUGAGGAUGAUCUCACGAAAGCUAACGAUGAUAGUCAAACUUACCAACCAUUCAACAGUGACUACCGGAGACGUGACAAUGACAAGGUAAAAAACAUUUGCAUGAUUAAGUAAUGAAUGUAAAUCAGCAUGUAGAUAGACAUAAAAGUUUGCUUGAUGUUUAAUGUUAUAUUUACAAAUUUAAAUUAUUGAUGAAGGGCACAACACUGAGAAGUGCAACGACGAUGCCGAG